GUUUAGGGGUAAACUGAAAAACCGAAAGGUCGAAGGGAGAAAUUCAUCGCGUGUCGACGGUGACAUCGGACAUUGUUGUGUGACGGAAAUGUGUUUACACAUUUUCGCGCCCUUUGUUUGAUUAAUUGACGAACGCGUGCACUUUUCUCCUGGUAGGACGUCGCGAUCCGUUGGGUGUCGGUCUACGGCUUGCGGUGGAGCCCGUUUGUCAUUAUUGACGAAUGGACCCGCAUUGUUCCCGGCCGACUCGCUCGACGGUAUAAGAAAGGUUAGAGGCCGCUCGAUUUGGAGCGUUCGACUCGUGGCAAGCGCGCCAGAUGCGUUGGCAAUCGGACCUGGUGCCGUUUCUGACCUCUGGUGACUGUUGGCUGCGAUGUUCUCGGACAGACCUCAAGACCGAUCUGCGACGCUAUAGCUUUGGGUACUUUCAGGACCCGUCUUGAAACACGGACCAAGGAGUCUAGCAUGUACGCAAGUCAUUGGGAAUCACUAAACCUAAAGGCGCAAUGAAAGUAAAGGUCUUCCUUGCGGAGACCGAGGGAAGACGGGCGGUUCUACCGUUAAAAGUGGCCGCUCAGCAUUCCCGGGGCGUCUCAUUCUCAUUGCGAGAAGAGGCGCACCAAGAGCGUACACGCUGGGACCCGAAAGAUGGUGAACUAUGCCUGGUCAGGACGAAGUCAGGGGAAACCCUGAUGGAGGUCCGUAGCGAUUCUGACGUGCAAAUCGAUCGUCGGAACUGGGUAUAGGGGCGAAAGACUAAUCGAACCAUCUAGUAGCG
rnacentral:rRNA from 1 species